GACGAACGCUGGCGGCGCGCCUAACACAUGCAAGUCGAACGGAGCUGAGAGAAGCUUGCUUUUCUUAGCUUAGUGGCGAACGGGUGAGUAACGCGUGAGUAACCUGCCCUGGAGUGGGGGACAACAGUUGGAAACGACUGCUAAUACCGCAUAAGCCCACGAUCCGGCAUCGGAUUGAGGGAAAAGGAUUUAUUCGCUUCAGGAUGGACUCGCGUCCAAUUAGCUAGUUGGUGAGGUAACGGCCCACCAAGGCGACGAUUGGUAGCCGGACUGAGAGGUUGAACGGCCACAUUGGGACUGAGACACGGCCCAGACUCCUACGGGAGGCGGCAGUGGGGGAUAUUGCACAAUGGGGGAAACCCUGAUGCAGCGACGCCGCGUGGAGGAAGAAGGUUUUCGGAUUGUAAACUCCUGUCGUUAGGGACGAUAAUGACGGUACCUAACAAGAAAGCACCGGCUAACUACGU
rnacentral:rRNA from 1 species